UUUGAAUAAAUGAGUAGGAAAAUACAAUAAAGUCCUUGAAUGCUUAGAUGUAGGAAUAAAUUAAAUGAGGGGUAUUGUAGUAAUUGUAUAAGAGAUGAUAUAUAUAAAUAGAAGGAAAAAAAACAAAAGAAGAGAUCUGAAUAUUUUGAGUGAAAAACCGUGAGAGAGAAGGGAGAAGGGAGAAGGGAGAAAGAAGAAGAAGAAGAGAAAAGAGGGAAAUUAGAAAGGAAAUAGAAAGGAGUUGGAGGAAAUAAGUAAAAAUAUAAUCCUGAUAUUCUACCGGCGGGACGUCAGUAGGAUUUUCUUCGGUGUCUGCUUUUGGCUUCUGUUUGCUUUUGAGUCAGGCUUAUAGCUUGAUAGCAGGUCAUUUUGUUGGACCUUCAGAACCUGCUUUUUGGUUGUACUUUGUACCUUUCCUUUAUGUCUAGUUAGUGCUCCAAAACUCUGAACUUAUAUAAACUCUUGUAUUAAGACAAUUCAAUUAUAUUAUGAAGUUGAUUUUGUUAUUAA